UGCUCUCCCGAUCUAAUUAUUCAAGUGUGUACAUAAAGUUUUUCUAGGAGGAUAUUCCAGAAGGAGUUAAAGGAAGCUUACAAAAAUAUAUCUAGCAUGACAAAAUAAAAUUAAGUAUAUAUUAAAAAUAUGUAUAUUAAAAAAGGAUAAGAUGGAGCUCAGAAUAUUACUCAGACAAUAUAUUACGAAGUCUAGAAGUGGGUCAUAAAUUAGAUGUGGGCUUCCUAGCAGCCAGGGUAAAGAUGGAAAUAGUAAUUACUAAUUCCAACCCUGUAAGAUGUAAAACAAAUGAGUUAACUAGGCAAAACACAAGACUUGUUGACACUGAGAAAAUAUUUGCUCAAGGUCUUUUCUGGGAACUUAUGAACUAAUAAAAAUGGGGGACAUGUUUUGGGUCAGCAGAAAUAGCUCUAGGAAAAAUCAGUCUUGACAUAAGAAAGUAAGUUAGUUAAUAGCAGUGUUUCAUCUUUCAGGUGUUGGAAUCUAUAGAUGUUGUUAAGUGGGCAGAAUUAGACUGGAUUAGAACAAUUAGGGUAAAACUAUUCUGGUUACCAGUGAAAACACAUAACUAUAGUUGGUCAUUCAAGCACUGUUUUCUAGGAAGUAUUUGUAAAUUUUAGACAUUUGAAAAUAUCAGUUUAUUCCUAAUCAUCAAAGCAGUCUAGAUGUAUAUAUAUCCCUGCUCAUCUUGGGUUUACGUGGAUACAUUCAAAUUCAGAUUGUUGAAACAUUCUUAGAUAUCAAGUGUUUCCAGCACAAAUGAGUAAAAGAAAAAAGUAGAGAAUACUUUCUUUUGAAACUUAUUUUGAAAGAAUCUAGUCUAGCAUAGUAUCUAAAGCCAACUAAAUUAUUUGGUGAGGCUAAGAACAUGGCAGUGUGCCCAGGGAACCGGUACCUACAGGAGUGAGCAGGACCGGAUGUCUAACUCUGCAGGCCAAAACUGAAUUGUAUUUCCAGUGAGGGAGAAACCGUUAGUUAAAUUUUUAUAUUUAGGUUUUUCAUCUCAAAACUAAUUAAGGGAUUUUACCUUGACUGUAGCCUUAUUUAAUAAGAAAAAGAUUUACAUUUCCUUAGAUUGACUUAGAGCAGUUUUUUAAUAAGAAGGAUUAGAAAAUAUUCCUUCAUGUAUUAAAUGCAUUAAUCAAGUCAGAAGCUCUUGUUUUAAUUAGCCUGAGGGUGGAUUACUAAGCAGCAAGGUUGUACAAACAAGCUGCUAAUUAUUCUCUGAGAUACUGGCCAGCCAUGAAGACCUAAUGAUCAAGUAGCAGAGGGUGAACAGAUCUAUGAAUUAUUUUAUGUUUGACUGACUAAAUGACUGAACGGAUGAACAUUUGCUGAGCGAGGUACCUGGGAUAGAAAUACGAUAAAGUCAUGGUCUCUGCCCUCAAAGUCUUCUAGGGGGUUAUCUGGUCUAUUUGGAACGUAAGCCAGUUAUACUACAGUGUGGCAAGUUCUCUGAUAAAUGCUUGGUAUGCUGUGAAAAUAAGGAAUGAGGGGCUGGGGGAUAAACUUUUCUAGAGGAUGAGACAUUUAGUUGAAUUUUUAAAAAAAAUUUUAUUGAAGUGUGGUUGAUUUACAGUGUUAAUUUCAGGUGUACAGCAAAGUGA